CCUACGGGAGGCAGCAGUGGGGGAUAUUGCACAAUGGGGGGAACCCUGAUGCAGCGACGCCGCGUGGGUGAAGAAGCGCCUCGGCGCGUAAAGCCCUGUCAGCAGGGAAGAAAAUGACGGUACCUGCAGAAGAAGCCACGGCUAACUACGUGCCAGCAGCCGCGGUAAUACGUAGGGGGCAAGCGUUAUCCGGAUUUACUGGGUGUAAAGGGAGCGUAGGCGGUGUUGCAAGUCAGAAGUGAAAGCCCGCAGCUCAACUGCGGGACUGCUUUUGAAACUGUAUGACUAGAUUGCAGGAGAGGUAAGUGGAAUUCCUAUUGUAGCGGUGAAAUGCGUAGAUAUUAGGAGGAACACCAGUGGCGAAGGCGGCUUACUGGACUGUAAAUGACGCUGAGGCUCGAAAGCGUGGGGAGCAAACAGGAUUAGAUACCCGAGUAGUC
rnacentral:rRNA from 1 species